GGUCGCAUAGCUCAGCUGGUUAGAGCGCCUGCCUCACAUGCAGGAGGCCCGUGGUUCAAGUCCACGUGCGACCA
rnacentral:tRNA from 1 species